CAACAGGGAUUGCCCUAGUAACGGCGAGUGAAGCGGCAAGAGCUCAAAUUUGAAAUCUGGCCCUCUCAGGGCCCGAGUUGUAAUUUGUAGAGGGCGCUUUGGCGUCGGCCCCGGCCUAAGUUCCUUGGAACAGGACGUCACAGAGGGUGAGAACCCCGUACGUGGCCGCCGGCCUUCGCCGUGUAAAGCCCCUUCGACGAGUCGAGUUGUUUGGGAAUGCAGCUCUAAAUGGGAGGUAAAUUUCUUCUAAAGCUAAAUACUGGCCAGAGACCGAUAGCGCACAAGUAGAGUGAUCGAAAGAUGAAAAGCACUUUGGAAAGAGAGUCAAAAAGCACGUGAAAUUGUUGAAAGGGAAGCGCUUGCAGCCAGACUUGCCUGUAGUUGCUCAUCCGAGCUCUCGCUCGGUGCACUCUUCUAUAGGCAGGCCAGCAUCAGUCCGGGCGGUCGGAUAAAGGCCUCGGGAAUGUAGCUCCCCUCGGGGAGUGUUAUAGCCCGGGGUGCCAUGCGACCAGCCUGGACUGAGGUCCGCGCAUCUGCUAGGAUGCUGGCGUAAUGGCUGUAAGCGGCCCGUCUUGAAACACGGACCAAGGAGUCUAACAUCUAUGCGAGUGUUUGGGUGUCAAGCCCGGGCGCGCAAUGAAAGUGAACGGAGGUGGGAACCCCUCGGGGCGCACCAUCGACCGAUCCUGAUGUCUUCGGAUGGAUUUGAGUAAGAGCAUAGCUGUUGGGACCCGAAAGAUGGUGAACUAUGCCUGAAUAGGGUGAAGCCAGAGGAAACUCUGGUGGAGGCUCGCAGCGGUUCUGACGUGCAAAUCGAUCGUCAAAUUUGGGCAUAGGGGCGAAAGACUAAUC
rnacentral:rRNA from 1 species